rnacentral:rRNA from 1 species
UGUGAGGCUGAUGUGUAGGCAAAUCCGCACAUCGAUAAGGCUGGGCUGUGAUGGGGAGCGAAAAUUGCAGUAGCGAAGGUCAUGAGUUCAGGCUGCCAAGAAAAGCCUCUAGCCAGGUGAAGGUGCCCGUACCGCAAACCGACACAGGUAGGCGAGCAGAGUAUGCUAAGGCGCUCGGAAGAACUCUCGUUAAGGAACUCGGCAAAAUGACCCCGUAACUUCGGGAGAAGGGGUGCCUCGGUAGGGUGAAUAGCCCGAGGGGGCCGCAGUGAAAAGGCCCAAGCGACUGUUUAGCAAAAACACAGGUCUGUGCGAAGCCGUAAGGCGAAGUAUACGGGCUGACGCCUGCCCGGUGCUGGAAGGUUAAGGGGAGUGGUUAGCCGCAAGGCGAAGCUAUGAACCGAAGCCCCAGUAAACGGCGGCCGUAACCAUAACGGUCCUAAGGUAGCGAAAUUCCUUGUCAGGUAAAUUCUGACCCGCACGAAUGGCGUAACGACUUGGGCGCUGUCUCAACGAGAGAUCCGGUGAAAUUUUAAUACCUGUGAAGAUGCAGGUUACCCGCGACAAGACGGAAAGACCCCAUGGAGCUUUACUGCAGCUUGAUAUUGGACUUUGGUGCGAUCUGUACAGGAUAGGUGGGAGCCUUGGAAACCGGAGCGCCAGCUUCGGCGGAGGCAUCGUUGGGAUACCACCCUGAUCGUAUCGGAGUUCUAACCUGGUACCGUGAUCCGGUACAGGGACCGUGUCAGGUGGGCAGUUUGACUGGGGCGGUCGCCUCCUAAAAUGUAACGGAGGCGCCCAAAGGUUCCCUCAGAAUGGUUGGAAAUCAUUCGUAGCGUGCAAAGGCAUAAGGGAGCUUACUGCGAGACCUACAAGUCGAGCAGGGACGAAAGUCGGGCUUAGUGAUCCGGUGGUACCGCAUGGAAGGGCCAUCGCUCAACGGAUAAAAGCUACCCUGGGGAUAACAGGCUUAUCUCCCCCAAGAGUCCACAUCGACGGGGAGGUUUGGCACCUCGAUGUCGGCUCAUCGCAUCCUGGGGCUGAAGUAGGUCCCAAGGGUUGGGCUGUUCGCCCAUUAAAGCGGUACGCGAGCUGGGUUCAGAACGUCGUGAGACAGUUCGGUCCCUAUCUGUCGUGGGCGUAGGAAAUUUGAGAGGAGCUGUCCUUAGUACGAGAGGACCGGGAUGGACGCACCGCUGGUGUACCAGUUGUUCCGCCAGGAGCAUAGCUGGGUAGCUACGUGCGGACGGGAUAAGCGCUGAAAGCAUCUAAGCGUGAAGCCCCCCUCAAGAUGAGAUUUCCCAGUAUGUAAGACCCCUGGAAGACGACCAGGUUGAUAGGUUCGAGGUGGAAGCGCAGCAAUGCGUGGAGCUGACGAAUACUAAUCGGUCGAGGGCUUAUUCAA